rnacentral:rRNA from 1 species
AACGAGCGCUGGCGGCAGGCCUAACACAUGCAAGUCGAGCGAGGACUUCGGUUCUAGCGGCGGACGGGUGAGUAACGCGUGGGAAUGUGCCCUUCUCUACGGAAUAGCCCUGGGAAACUGGGAGUAAUACCGUAUACGCCCUAUUGGGGAAAGAUUUAUCGGAGAAGGAUCAGCCCGCGUUGGAUUAGGUAGUUGGUGGGGUAAUGGCCUACCAAGCCGACGAUCCAUAGCUGGUUUGAGAGGAUGAUCAGCCACACUGGGACUGAGACACGGCCCAGACUCCUACGGGAGGCAGCAGUGGGGAAUCUUAGACAAUGGGGGCAACCCUGAUCUAGCCAUGCCGCGUGAGUGAUGAAGGCCUUAGGGUUGUAAAGCUCUUUCAGCUGGGAAGAUAAUGACGGUACCAGCAGAAGAAGCCCCGGCUAACUCCGUG